ACAAACUUGGUCAUUUAGAGGAAGUAAAAGUCGUAACAAGGUUUCCGUAGGUGAACCUGCGGAAGGAUCAUUAAAGAGAUAGGGUCUUUUCGGGCCCGACCUCCAACCCUCUGUCUACCAAACUUCAUGUUGCUUCGGCGGGUCCGUCUUUUGGACCGCCGGAGGGCUUCGGCCCUCUGGUCAGUACCUGCCGGUGGCCAACCAACCAAAACUCUGAAUCGAAUCGUGUCUGAAUUAAUUGAAAAAAUUAACUUAAAAAACUUUCAACAACGGAUCUCUUGGUUCUGGCAUCGAUGAAGAACGCAGC
rnacentral:misc_RNA from 1 species